GAUUAAAUGGCUGAAAUUUAGGCGAUAGAUUGUAAAUUUAUUUAUGAGAAAUUUUCUCUUUAAUCA
rnacentral:tRNA from 1 species